rnacentral:rRNA from 1 species
UGGUCAAGUUAUUAAGGGUGCAGGGCGGAUGCCUUGGCACUAGGAGCCGAUGAAGGACGUGAUAAGCUGCGAUAAGCUUCGGGGAGUUGCACGUAAACUUUGAUCCGAAGAUUUCCGAAUGAGGAAACUCACUUAGAGUAAUGUCUAAGUAUCAUUAAGUGAAUACAUAGCUUAAUGAGGGGAACUCAGGGAACUGAAACAUCUAAGUACCUGAAGGAAGAGAAAGAAAUUCGAUUCCGUAAGUAGCGGCGAGCGAACGCGGAUUAGCCCAAACCAAUAAAGUUUUCUUUAUUGGGGUUGCGGACAUAUCAUAACGAAGAGGUAUCGUAAUUGAAGAGGUUUGGAAAGACCCACCACAGAAGGUAAUAGUCCUGUAUGUUAAACGAGAAGACUUCAGAUAUGAUCCAGAGUACCACGGGACACGUGAAACCCUGUGGGAAGCAGGAGGGACCACCCUCCAAGGCUAAAUACUACCUAGUGACCGAUAGCGUAUAGUACCGUGAGGGAAAGGUGAAAAGAACCCCGGGAGGGGAGUGAAAUAGAACCUGAAACCCUGCACUUACAAGCUGUGGAAGCACAUUUCUUGUGUGACCGCGUACUUUUUGUAGAACGGGCCAACGAGUUACGUUAAGUAGCAAGGUUAAGCACUUAAGGUGCGGAGCCGUAGCGAAAGCGAGUUUUAACUGAGCGUUCAGUUACUUGACGUAGACCCGAAACCGGGCGACCUACCCAUGAGCAGGAUGAAGCGAAAGUAAAAUUUCGUGGAGGUCCGAACCCACGAGCGUUGAAAAGCUCGGGGAUGACUUGUGGGUAGCGGUGAAAUUCCAAUCGAGCCCGGAGAUAGCUGGUUCUCCCCGAAAUAGCUUUAGGGCUAGCCUCAAGGUGAGAGAUACGGAGGUAGAGCACUGAAUGUCCUAGGGGGUAUUGCACCUACCGAAGACUAUCAAACUCCGAAUGCCGUCAUCUUAUACUUGGGAGUCAGACUGUGGGUGAUAAGAUUCAUAGUCGAAAGGGCAACAGCCCAGAUCGUCAGCUAAGGUCCCUAAAUGUAAGUUAAGUGGUAAAGGAUGUGGGAUUGCACAGACAACCAGGAUGUUGGCUUAGAAGCAGCCACUCAUUCAAAGAGUGCGUAAUAGCUCACUGGUCGAGUGAUCCUGCGCCGAAGAUUUCCGGGGCUAAAACUUACUACCGAAGCUACGGCAUCAGUAAUGAUGGGUAGGGGAGCUUCCCAUACGGGUUGAAGCAUGACCGUAAGGACAUGUGGACAGUAUGGGAGUGAGAAUGUUGGCAUGAGUAGCGAGAUGUGGGUGAGAAUCCCACAGGCCGUAAACCCAAGGUUUCCAGGGGAAGGUUCGUCCGCCCUGGGUUAGUCGGGACCUAAGCUGAGGCCGAAAGGCGUAGGUGAUGGACAACAGGUUGAUAUUCCUGUACUACCGAUAACCGUUUGAGAGAAGGGAUGACACAGUAGGAUAAGCUAAGCACACUGUUGGUUAUGUGUGCCCAAGCAUUGAGGCAGUCAAAGUAGGCAAAUCCGCUUUGAUAAUGCUGGGAUGUGAUGGGGAGCGAAAUUUAGUAGCGAAGUAGCUGAUUUCACACUGUCAAGAAAAGUCUCUAUCGAGGUUAAAGGUACCCGUACCGCAAACCGACACAGGUGGGUGAGGAGAGUAUCCUAAGGCCAGCGAGAGAACUGUUGUUAAGGAACUCGGCAAAAUGACCCCGUAACUUAGGGAUAAGGGGUGCCACCAUCAGGUGGCCGCAGAGAAUAGGCCCAAGCGACUGUUUACCAAAAACAUAGGUUUCUGCUAAGUCGCAAGACGAUGUAUAGGAGCUGACGCCUGCCCGGUGCUGGAAGGUUAAGGGGAUCUGUUAGAGCAAUCGAAGCAGUGAACUUAAGCCCCAGUAAACGGCGGCCGUAACUAUAACGGUCCUAAGGUAGCGAAAUUCCUUGUCGGGUAAGUUCCGACCCGCACGAAAGGCGUAACGAUUUGGGCACUGUCUCAACAACAGACUCGGUGAAAUUGUAAUUCCGGUGAAGAUGCCGGAUACCUGCGACAGGACGGAAAGACCCCAUGGAGCUUUACUGUAGCUUGACAUUGGGUCUUGGUACUACAUGUACAGGAUAGGUGGGAGGCUUUGAAACCAGGACGCCAGUUUUGGCGGAGCCAUCCUUGGGAUACCACCCUUGUAGUACUGGGACUCUAACCAUAGGCCAUGAAUCUGGUCUUGGGACACUGUCAGGUGGGCAGUUUGACUGGGGCGGUCGCCUCCCAAAAGGUAACGGAGGCGCUCAAAGGUUCUCUCAGUACGGUCGGAAAUCGUACGUAGAGUGUAAAGGCAAAAGAGAGCUUGAUUGCAAGACAUACAGGUCGAGCAAGGAUGAAAAUCGGACUUAGUGAUCCGGUGGUUCUGCGUGGAAGGGCCAUCGCUCAACGGAUAAAAGCUACCCUGGGGAUAACAGGCUUAUCUCCCCAAGAGUCCACAUCGACGGGGAGGUUUGGCACCUCGAUGUCGGCUCAUCACAUCCUGGGGCUGUAGUAGGUCCCAAGGGUUGGGCUGUUCGCCCAUUAAAGUGGUACGCGAGCUGGGUUCAGAACGUCGUGAGACAGUUCGGUCCCUAUCCGUCGCAGGCGUAGGAAAUUUGAGAAGACCUGUCCUUAGUACGAGAGGACCGGGAUGGACGUACCUCUGGUGUACCAGUUGUCCUGCCAAGGGCAUGGCUGGGUAGCUAUGUACGGAAUGGAUAAGCGCUGAAAGCAUCUAAGCGCGAAGCCAACUUCAAGAUAAGAUUUCCCACCGCAAGGGUAAGACCCCAGAAAGACUAUCUGGUUGAUAGGUCGAAGGUGUAAGUGCAGCAAUGUAUUUAGCUUAUCGAUACUAAUAGGUCGAGGACUUGACCAAU